GUGUUUUUUUUUUUUUUUUUUUUUUUUUUUUUUUUU
rnacentral:ribozyme from 1 species